rnacentral:tRNA from 5 species
GCCGGAAGCUUAGCCACUCCCCGCCGGAGGCGAGCGCGUCCUUGGUAAGGACGAGAGCGCGGGUUCAAAUCCCGCCUCAGGCU